AAUAAAGUUCAGUCUUCUCAAGACAUUAGUAAGAACACUGUUAAUAAUUCGUGAUAUUUUUUAUAUGUUUCAGUAUUUCAUAUUAUUCUAUCAUUUUGUGUAAUACGACAUAUCAUCAAUUUGCCGCUAUUUUUUUCUCGAUUAUUUGAAAACCUAGACGUAAUGGAGCAAAACGGUUUACAAAUUCGGAUUUAGUGACCCAAAAUCUAUAAGAAGCACCUACUCCGAUCCCAGUUUAUUUUCAAAAAAUUUUCUUUUGUGGUCCUGUGUUAUAGAUAUGUGGAUGGCAUAUUAUUAGCAGCCCCGAAACAUUUGACUAAGAAAAUUGUGGAAGUUUUCAAUUCAUAUCAUGAUAGGAUUCAGUUCACGAUGGAAAUAGAGGAGAAUAAAUCCAUAAACUUUUUAGAUUUAAAGAUUAUAAUUAAUGAAAAGAAUAAAAUUGUCACAAAUUGGUUCCAUAAAAAAAACAAAUUCAGACAGAUAUUUAUCGUAUUUUUCUAAUCAUCCUUUGUGUCAUAAAAUAGGCACAAUUUAUAGUUUGACGGAUAGAGCCGUAUUAUUGUCACAUCCUCAAUAUCAUAUAAAAACUUGAACUAUGUAAUAGACACUUUGUUGGAAAAUGGAUAUCCCCUGUCUUUUAUCUUUAAGCAUGUUGAGGUCAGGAUAAAAAAAUUAAUGUUUACUAAAUUAUGUCAGAGUAAUACUGUUGAUAAUCAAAUUAAUAAAAACCAGAUACAAAAUUUAUAGCAAUUCCUUACAUUAAAAACUUAACUGAACAUAUUUGCAAGUCCUUUCGGAAUACAGAAUUUGCAGCGGGAUAUAAAUGCUUAAAUAGGCCUAAUAAAAUUAUUAAAGUUCAUAAGAAUACCACUCCAAAAGAAUAUAAUAUUAAUGUUAUAUAUAAGAUCUAGUUAUGUUAUAUAUAAGACUAGGAUAAGAAAACACAGGACGAAUAUUAAACAACAUGAGACAAAACACACGGCAGUGUCUCUACAUAUCACGGAACCUAAUCAUAAUUUCGACUGGGAUAAUCCCAAGAUUUUAGAUCACGAAAAAAAUUAUUAUAAAAGGUUGAUCUCGAAGGCUAUAUCUACAUAAAGCAACAACACAAUGGUCUAAAUGCAACAGAAGAUAGCGAAUAUUUAGAUUCUUCUUACUUUCCAUUAUUAGAUUUUAUUUUAAAUAAACAAAUUAUACAACAUGAUUGUUAUUGUCCUUUCGUCACUGUUUGCUUAUAUAUAUAAUACCGGCGCUUUAAGAUUGAUGUCAUUGUCUGUUCAUAACUCAAUAGUUAUUGUCAAGUAAACGUGUUUAUUAUACAUCGAUAAUUUUGACACGUAUACAUACAGAAUAAUUUUUAUCAUUUGACACACUGUAAAAUUUAUUUAUUCAAACUUGGACAAACGAUUGGUGAGUUUAGUUUAAUUAUGUAGACAAUACCCACAUAAAGUGUUAAAUUCUUAA